GAAUGAGACUCAGUGUUUGUGCGUGUUUUGUAGGGUUGAUGAGGAUGAGGAAAUCAUUGUUAAAGCGAUGACCGAUUACUGGGUUGUUGGAAAGAAGUCUGAUCAGAGGGAGCUGUACGUCAUUUUGAACCAGAAGAAUGCCAACCUCAUUGAAGUGAAUGAGGAAGUGAAAAGGCUGUGUGCAACACAAUUCAAUAAUAUUUUUUUCUUGGACUGAAGAGAUAUGAUGGGCAUGGACUACUUCACUACACUAAAACUGUCAACUGUUCAGGUUUUACUGACAGCAUCAGUGUAAUGCAAUAAUUGCAUUGUAAAAAAA